GACGAACGCUGGCGGCGUGCUUAACACAUGCAAGUCGAACGGGAACCUUUAUUUCGGUAAAGGUGAGAGUGGCAAACGGGUGAGUAACACGUAGGCAACCUGCCGACAGGAUGGGGACAACAUUCCGAAAGGAAUGCUAAUACCGAAUGGAGUCCGGAGAUGGCAUCAUCUCCGGAUAAAAGAUGGCCUCUGAAUAUGCUAUCGCCUGUCGAUGGGCCUGCGUCUGAUUAGCCAGUUGGCGGGGUAACGGCCCACCAAAGCGACGAUCAGUAGCCGGUCUGAGAGGAUGAACGGCCACAUUGGGACUGAGACACGGCCCAGACUCCUACGGGAGGCAGCAGUGGGGAAUCUUCCACAAUGGGCGAAAGCCUGAUGGAGCAACGCCGCGUGAGUGAAGAAGGUCUUCGGAUCGUAAAGCUCUGUUGCACGGGACGAAAACCGAGCUUGAAAAUAUUGAGUUUGGGGACGUACCGAGCGAGGAGCCACG
rnacentral:rRNA from 1 species